AUGAAAAUUCUAUUACAUAUAUAAGUGACCAAACAGGAGAUUAAUUUGCAAAAGCAAAAACGAGAUAGACAUAAGAUUUUGAUAAAUUAUAAACUAAUAGAGAGUUCCCACGAGCAACCCCCAUGAAACAUUGUCAAUGCUUGGUGGCUUUGAGUUGUAUCUUUAGCGUGAAUGAUUGAUCUUCUUUCACAAUCUCACCAUU
rnacentral:lncRNA from 1 species